rnacentral:lncRNA from 1 species
ACAUCUAUACCAACUUCUAUAUUUAUCAGAUGAAAAAAAGACGCAAAUGAGGAUAUGCUAAUAUUCAAUCUGUAUCCAAUUUAUUUUUCAGCAAUAAAAGGUGGUGUAUUUAUUGAAAGAAAAGUUGAAUAUGAUUCACUCACUUAGCCUCCAUUAAUGUUAAUUUAUAUCACACUAUUAUAUAUAGAUAAUAUCCGAAUCAUGUCCAUAUUCGCUGCAUAAAAAAAAGGCACCAAUAUGGAUGCGCUAAUAUUUUCUUCUUAUCAAAUAUAUUUUGUUGCCCUAAUAAAAGUUUUUUUUUGCUUCAAAAAAAUUAAUUGUGAUUCAUUCAUCUAGUCUCCACGAAUAUCUAAUUUAUUAUACGUUUAUAUAUAUAGAUAAUUUUAAAU